AAAGUGACAAAAUAGUAAUAUUUUCAAGAAACAACUUUUUAAAUUCUAAUUUUAGAAGUCAAGUUAUGAUCUGAGAGAUAACUUAAAAAUGGAAAGUUAUUUAGGAACAAAAUAAAAGGCAAAAAACCAAACCUCAUACAAACUUAAAUGUUUGACAUUUAAAACUAAAGAGAUUUUUUUUUACGUGGAUUUGAAAUAAAUAAGCCAACCUCGGUACAUAACCGCUGAAAACUAAAAAACCGUACCCUAAACCAACACAGGUAGAUAGGUCGAGUAGACCAAGGUGUAUGAGAUAAUUAUGUUGAAGGAACUCGGCAAAAUGACUCUGUAACUUCGGGAGAAAGAGUACCUUUUUAUUUAAGUAUUUAUCGAUGAAUUAAUAAGAAG
rnacentral:rRNA from 1 species